UUAUUCUUACGGACUACUUAGCAUUUGACUAGAUGGUAUGAAUUUCUAAGUAAGCACAUAUAGAACUGGAUGCCCUUGUGGUACAUCUCAAGACUGAUUUGAAAGCUUGAGAGACCAUCGAGAAUUGGAUUUGGGGAAGAUCAUGUAGGAGAAUACUAACCCUGCACAGAUUGUGAUGGUGAUGUGGAAUAUACUAAAGCCCAGAACGCACCUCCUCUGCAUGACUAAUAUGUCCUGAACAAGACAUGAAGGCACAGACAGUACUGUCUUUUUUCCUCAUUCUCAUAACAUCUCUGAGUGGAUCUCAAGGCAUAUUCCCUUUGGCUUUCUUCACUUAUGUUCCUAUGAAUGAACAAAUCAUCAUUGGAAGACUUGAUGAAGAUAUAAUUCUCCCUUCUUCAUUUGAGAGGGGAUCUGAAGUCGUAAUACACUGGAAGUAUCAAGAUAGCUACAAGGUUCACAGUUACUACAAAGGCAGUGACCAUUUGGAAAGCCAAGAUCCCAGAUAUGCAAACAGGACAUCACUUUUCUAUAAUGAGAUUCAAAAUGGGAAUGCAUCUCUAUUUUUCAGAAGAGUAAGCCUUCUGGACGAAGGAAUUUACACCUGCUAGGUAGGAACAGCAAUUCAAGUGAUUACAAACAAAGUGGUGCUAAAGGUGGGAGUUUUUCUCACACCCAUGAUGAAGUAUGAAAAGAGGAACACAAACAGCUUCUUAAUAUGCAGCGUGUUAAGUGUUUAUCCUCGUCCAAUUAUCAUGUGGAAAAUGGACAACACACCUAUCUCUGAAAACAAUAUGGAAGAAACAGGGUCUUUGGAUCCUUUUUCUAUUAACAGCACACUGAAUAUUACAGGAUCAAAUUCAUCUUAUGAAUGUACAAUUGAAAAUUCACUGCUGAAGCAAACGUGGACAGGGCACUGGACAAUGAAAGAUGGCCUUCAUAAAAUGCAAAGUGAACACAUUUCACUCUCAUGUCAACCUGUAAAUGAUUAUUUUUCACCAAACCAAGACUUCAAAGUUACUUGGUCCAGAAUGAAAAGUGGGACGUUCUCUAUCCUGGCUUACUAUCUGAGCUCCUCACAAAAUAUAAUUAUCAAUGAAUCCCGAUUCUCAUGGAACAAAGAGCUGAUAAACCAGAGUGACUUCUCUAUGAAUUUGAUGGAUCUUCAUCUUUCAGAUAGUGGGGAAUAUUUAUGCAAUAUUUCUACCGAUGAAUAUACUUUACUUACCAUCCACACAGUGCACGUAGAACCGAGCCAAGAAACAGCUUCCCAUAACAAAGGCUUAUGGAUUUUGGUGCCCUCUGUGAUUUUGGCAGCUUUUCUGCUGAUUUGGACAAUAAAAUGUUGCAGAGAAAGACGUGGUGUCCCUCCCUACUGAUGAGAGCCCUCACCAUGCACCUGAUAAUGCCGAAGAAAACGUGCCUCUUUCAGGAAGAGUACAGGAAAUGAGAAAAGACUGUGACAACUCAUGACCUGCAUCCUUAAUAUCCAGUGACUUCAUCUCCCCUUUCUUCACUGCAAUUCCAGGCAAUGGCCUGUCAGACCAGACAAUUCUACCACUGCAAAGACUUGUAACCAUUUUCUAGUAUCACAUUUACUUUUCAAGACAUAAGGAUCAUUCACUGACCCACUACCUGCAUUGAGUAUAAAUGCCUGGAUGUUAAGGAUUCCAAUUUAACUUCGGAAAGAACUGCCUCAUUCAUUUACAUUCCUGUUACAGUCAGCCCAGGAGAUUACAGUGAGCUCUCCACUAAGAAUCUGGAAGAAACGCAUCACUAGGGGUUGAUUCCCAAUCUGAUCAACUGAUAAUGGGUGAGACAGCAGGUAAGAGCAGAAGUCACCUUAGUGGAAAGGUUAAAAACCAGAGCCUGGAAACAAAGAUGAUUGAUUUGAUAAGGUAUUUUAGUCUAGUUUUAUAUGAAUGAUUAUAUCAGGGUAACCAACUCGAUUUGGGAUGAAUCUUAGGGACACCAAAGACUGACUGUCAGUAUCUUUCAGAUUGCUAGGGAAAAGGGCCCUAUGAACAUAAGAAUCUCUGAAGUUAGGUUACACUUGACCACACGAGGCUUGCAUAGUUGAGUGACUAGCCAUGAAGAUAAUUCAAACUCUUCUGGCUCAAUUGGCAUAUUACUAAUCAAUCUUCUAAUAAAUUUAGAUUUUCAUAUAAAUUUUUAAGCAAGAGAAGGGAGAGCUCAGCUAACUUAAUAUGUUUCCCUUAAUUUUAGUCACCAAUUUACAUAAAGGAAACAGUCUAAUGUUAAUGCUUGUGAACUUGUCACUAUAACCAGGCUUUUGUGUGACUUAGUCGAUCAGGGUUUUGACUCUAUAAGAGCAAAUUCUGAAUUGUGGUGUAACUGCCACCUGGUCCAAUUUUAUCACCUGACCUCAGUUUCACAAUCCUAUCCUUGUAUGUAAUUAACUCUGUUUUUGCUACAAUGUUAUGAUGGGUUAUCACAAAUAGCAAAGUAUUGAGAAUUCCCGUCAGAAUGAUAAUUAUUAAAAAGUCAAACAAUAGAU